CAGCAGCCGCGGGAAUACGAAGGGUGCAAGCGUUACUCGGAAUUACUGGGCGUAAAGCGUGCGUAGGUGGUGGUUUAAGUCCGUUGUGAAAGCCCUGGGCUCAACCUGGGAAUUGCAGUGGAUACUGGGUCACUAGAGUGUGGUAGAGGAUAGUGGAAUUACCGGUGUAGCAGUGAAAUGCGUAGAGAUCGGAAGGAACAUCUGUGGCGAAGGCGACUAUCUGGGCCAACACUGACACUGAGGCACGAAAGCGUGGGGAGCAAACAGGAUUAGAUACCCGGGUAGUCCCUGUCUCUUAUAC
rnacentral:rRNA from 1 species